rnacentral:lncRNA from 1 species
UACGUCCUCAUCUUCAGCCUCUUGCUCUUCUACGUCCUCAUCUUCUUGUUCCUGAUCUUCUGUAACAUCCCAAAUUUUCCCAAACUUUGCAUCACGCAUUUGCACUCAUAAGCAUCAUGCCAUUUAUGCACCUUGAACAUUUUAAACCAAGAUUCCAAAUUUAAAAUCCCUUUUAUUAAGCUUUUGCCUUUUAAUCUUCUUUGUUACCUUUUUGAAAUUUCUCAACCCAUAGGGUUUGUCAAUAUAAAGGGGUUUAUUGCAUCAAGAUAAGCUACCCCAUAAUUUUUGGAAUUUAUUUUGGAGUUUAAAAACUAUUUUGUUUCUAAAUAUUGUUGCACUAGAGGCAACUAUUUAAGCAAAACUAUUUUUAAUAAUUUGCUUUUGGAAGGAAUCAAGUCCCAGAUGCUUUAGCAUUGAGGGAUAUGAUUUUACAAAUUUUCUGGAAUUUAUUUGGGGUCAUUUGGAGUUCAAAAUCAAAAGAUAGAAGGGAAAAACAGAAAAAGAAAAAGAGAAAAGAAAAAAAAAGAAACCAGACCGGCCCGGCCAACUUGGACCGAACCGGCCCAGCUGCGCCCGAACCGCGCGCACACGCGCCUGCCCAGCGCGGCCCAAACCGCGAACCGGCCCAGCAACAGCUCGCCCAGCCCAGCGCCGCCGCCCACGCGCCCGCAAGUCUUCGUCUUCCUCGGCCGGGAAUCUAGCGAGGACCGUCUUCACUUCUCGUCAUCAAUCCGCAAUUUAGAGCACGCCAUUAAGCCUCUCUCUCUCUCUCUCUCUCGCGUCACUAUAAAGAGACCCCCUCCCUCUCUCAUUUCCCCCGCACCCCCUCGCUCAACCCCGCGCCCACGCCGUGUAAUUGCUCGCC